rnacentral:rRNA from 1 species
AGAAUCAACGCUGGCGGCGUGCCUCAGACAUGCAAGUCGAACGAUUAAAGCUCUCUUCGGAGAGUGUAUAGAGUGGCGCACGGGUGAGUAACACGUAAGUAAUCUACCUUCGAGUGGGGAAUAACCCGGGGAAACCCGAGCUAAUACCGCAUAAUGCAGCGGCAUCUAAUGAUGACAGUUGUUAAAGAUUUAUCGCUUGAAGAGGAGCUUGCGGCAGAUUAGCUAGUUGGUAAGGUAAUGGCUUACCAAGGCUACGAUCUGUAACCGGUCUAAGAGGACGGUCGGUCACACUGACACUGAAUAACGGGUCAGACUCCUACGGGAGGCAGCAGUCGGGAAUUUUGGGCAAUGGGCGAAAGCCUGACCCAGCAACGCCGCGUGAAGGAUGAAGUAUUCGGUAUGUAAACUUCGAAAGAAUAGGAAGAAUACAAUGACGGUAACC